rnacentral:rRNA from 1 species
GACAUAGGUGGCAAACGUUAUCCGGAAUUAUUGGGCGUAAAGGAUGCGUAGAUGGUCUAGUAAGUUAUCAGUGGUAAAUCGGGGCCCAACCUCGUGGAAGUUGGUAAUACUGUUAGACUUGAGUAUCGGAGAGGUUAACGGAACUCCCUGUGGAGCGGUGAAAUGUGUAGAUAUAGGGAAGAACACCAAACGGCGAAGGCAGUUAACUAUUCGGCUACUGACAUUGAGGCAUGAAAGCGUGGGAGCAAACGG